rnacentral:rRNA from 1 species
AACGAACGCUAGCGGCAGGCCUAACACAUGCAAGUCGAACGGACAUCGAAGUUGGUUCGCCAAUGGAGAUGUUAGUGGCGGACGGGUGAGGAAUACAUAGGAAUCUACCUAGUAGUAUGGAAUAAUCACUGGAAACGGUGAGUAAUACCACAUACGCCCUUCGGGGGAAAGAUUUAUCGCUAUUAGAUGAGCCUAUGCUGGAUUAGCUAGUUGGUGGGGUAAAAGCCUACCAAGGCGACGAUCCAUAGCUGGCCUGAGAGGGUGACCAGCCACACUGGAACUGAGAUACGGUCCAGACUCCUACGGGAGGCAGCAGUGGGGAAUAUUGGGCAAUGGGCGCAAGCCUGACCCAGCCAUGCCGCAUGAGUGAAGAAGGCCUUCGGGUUGUAAAGCUCUUUCAGCGGGGAAGAUUAUGACGGUACCCGCAGAAGAAGUCCUGGCUAACUCCGUGCCAGCCGCCGCGGUAA